rnacentral:rRNA from 1 species
GACGAACGCUGGCGGCGUGCUUAACACAUGCAAGUCGAACGAGAGCGUAGAGAAAGCUUGCUUUUUCUACAAUCUAGUGGCAAACGGGUGAGUAACGCGUAAACAACCUGCCCUACGGAUGGGGACACCAGCUGGAAACGGCUGCUAAUACCGAAUACGUUCCGAAAGUCGCAUGACUAUCGGAAGAAAGGAUGGCCUCUAUUUAUAAGCUAUCGCCGGAGGAGGGGUUUGCGUCUGAUUAGCUAGUUGGAGGGGUAACGGCCCACCAAGGCGACGAUCAGUAGCCGGUCUGAGAGGAUGAACGGCCACAUUGGAACUGAGACACGGUCCAGACUCCUACGGGAGGCAGCAGUGGGGAAUCUUCCGCAAUGGGCGAAAGCCUGACGGAGCAACGCCGCGUGAGUGAAGACGGCCUUCGGGUUGUAAAGCUCUGUUAUACGGGACGAAUAAUCUUGUGGUUAAUACCCAUGAGAAGUGACGGUACCGUAAGAGAAAGCCACGGCUAACUACGUG